GUAAGUAUAGUUCUCUCUCUUUAUUUUGUAGGAAUUAGGAUAAGCUAAGUAGGUUUGUAUUCAUUUCUGUUUCCCUUAAAUUACCACGGUAAAUAAUUUGUUGAGAAGCUUUUUUUCAUUUAUUUUUCUUUUAAAUAAUUGAAUUUUGGGACCCUGUAGUAACAGUAUUAAUUAAAUAUAACUACUCAGCAGGGGUGAACCUGCCAGGAUUCUUACAGUGUUAAAAUAAGUAAAUUACAUGAAGGGACUCAGCAUCUCCACUAACUAAACCAUCUUUAAGGACCUUGGGUGAAGUUUUGAUAGGUAAAUCUGUGUAAUGCUUUUUCUCGCCAUCCAUCCAUCUGUCCAUCCAUCCAUCCACUCAUUCAUUACUGUGCAUUCGGUUCUAAGAACUGUGUUUCAGAGCCAGGACUUGAGAGAGCAAAGAGUAAUAGUGGGACAGUUCGUAUCAGUCCAGACAGGCAGAGCUCAGAGCCUGGAAGCAUGGGGUUUUCAGAGAAACACCAGCAGUCAAGCAGAAGUGGUCACAUUGAGUCCUGAUGAAAAGGAGUAAGGCGUGGGUGUGCUGCCUGAAUGACACCCCGUGUCUGUCAUAACGCUGUAGCAUUAUUUCAGGAAUAGAGGAUAGAUAUCAAUGGAGAUAUACCUGGAGUGCAUUUGUGAGCUGUGCCAUUGUGGCACAUGCCUACUGUGCGUACGUUACAGCUAGCGCCAAGCAGCCUUGUUCCCAGUGUGGAUGAUCUUGGUAGAGUGGAGUCUGGUACACAGAGACAGCUGCUCACGGGAUUUAAACAGUGGAUUCUGGUUCAGUUGUUUGGGGUCUGGGACUCUUCUUUGUGGGCUUUUUGUUGUUUUAAAUUGUGGUGUUUAGGAUGAUACUCCCGAUGCAUGCUGGCAAGUACUUGACCCCUGAGCUAUAGCCAUAGCCCUGGAGUUACACUCUUUGCUCUUUCCUCGGCCUUCAGUUCCUUGAGGUGCAGUGGGCCCCAGGUUGGAUGCCUUACCAUUAUCAUUAGAUUGGAAGUCUGCCUCUCUCCUGUUAUGAUCUGCUCUUGACACUGCAGAAGCAGCAGCUCACUGUAUAUUCAUCUAGUGUUCCUUGGUAUGAUUAGCGAUUAAAGCAAAGGUGGUCACAGACAGUCAUUAUCUUGUCUGUUGUUGCUUCAAAUGCCACAUAGACUAAGAAACAAUUUUGAAACUAACACGAUGCAGGAUACAUAGAGAAUACAUUUCUAAGAGC
rnacentral:lncRNA from 1 species